rnacentral:rRNA from 1 species
AUUGAACGCUGGCGGCAUGCCUUACACAUGCAAGUCGAACGGCAGCACGGGAGCAAUCCUGGUGGCGAGUGGCGAACGGGUGAGUAAUAUAUCGGAACGUGCCCAGUCGUGGGGGAUAACGUAGCGAAAGCUACGCUAAUACCGCAUACGAUCUAUGGAUGAAAGCGGGGGAUCGCAAGACCUCGCGCGAUUGGAGCGGCCGAUAUCAGAUUAGGUAGUUGGUGAGGUAAAGGGCUCACCAAGCCGACGAUCUGUAGCCGGUCUGAGAGGACGA